ACCCACUGUGCUCCUGUACCUCAGAGAGUGCGGAUUUGAGGAAUGAGUAAGUCAGAGCAGACAGAGACCAUGAUCCCAAGGGGGCAGAGUGCCAUGAAGUGCUGUGGAGGAGCUGAUAAGCCCCAUCUAAGUUUUCACACGAAGGUAAGAGUUAGCUGCUGGCUUCAGAGGAAAUAAAGUGCUGUUACUACAUCACUUCAGCCAGCUAAAGGUAACGUGCUGAAAACUUGUCAGACCCAUUGGUCAGAUGUCAAAUGCCAG
rnacentral:lncRNA from 12 species